rnacentral:rRNA from 1 species
AUUGAACGCUGGCGGCAUGCCUAACACAUGCAAGUCGAACGGUAACGCGGGGGCAACCCUGGCGACGAGUGGCGGACGGGUGAGUAAUACGUAGGAAUCUGCCCAUUUGUGGGGGAUAACCCGGCGAAAGCCGGGCUAAUACCGCAUACGCUCUACGGAGGAAAGCGGGGGUAUCGUAAGACCUCGCGCUAAUGGAUGAGCCUACGUCGGAUUAGCUAGUUGGUAGGGUAACGGCCUACCAAGGCGACGAUCCGUAGCUGGUCUGAGAGGACGAUCAGCCACACUGGGACUGAGACACGGCCCAGACUCCUACGGGAGGCAGCAGUGGGGAAUAUUGGACAAUGGGGGCAACCCUGAUCCAGCAAUGCCGCGUGUGUGAAGAAGGCCUGCGGGUUGUAAAGCACUUUCAGAGGGGCAAGAAAAAAGUCGGAGCUAAUACCUCCGAGCUUGACGUUACCCUUAGAAGAAGCACCGGCUAACUCCGUGCCAGCAGCCGCGGUAAUACGG